rnacentral:rRNA from 1 species
GACGAACGCUGGCGGCGUGCUUAACACAUGCAAGUCGAACGGAAAGGCCCUGCUUUUGUGGGGUGCUCGAGUGGCGAACGGGUGAGUAACACGUGAGUAACCUGCCCUUGACUUUGGGAUAACUUCAGGAAACUGGGGCUAAUACCGGAUAGGAGCUCCUGCUGCAUGGUGGGGGUUGGAAAGUUUCGGCGGUUGGGGUUGGACUCGCGGCUUAUCAGCUUGUUGGUGGGGUAGUGGAUUACCAAGGCUUUGACGGGUAGCCGGCCUGAGAGGGUGACCGGGCACAUUGGCACAGAGGAGGGAGCAGGAGGCAAACGGGAGCCAGGGGUGGAAGCUAUAGGGCACAGGGCGGAGGGAGUGUGCAGCAUCGCCGCGUGGGGAAAGACGGCUUUCGGGUAGUAAACAGCUUGCGACUGUGUAGGAGCGUGUGUAAGGGUAAUGAGUAAAGAAGCACGGCCUAACUAGGU